UUGUUGUCAUCGAUUGUCAUCAAAGUUGAAAUCAGCUUAGCUGCGGAUAGAUUUCUGCCAUAAGCUGUUGAAGGGAUCAUUUGAGUGAAAUCAAUGUUGAUUUAUCAGAAGAUGCAGUUGAAGAUAUCUUAAUUAAGGAUGUAAUACAAUUAUAAAGACUGAUGGUUAUAACAGCUGAUCAUGCUAAGGACUGUUAUAAUUAACCACUGCUCCUUAUAAACACUGAUGGACUUAAAUACUGAUAAGGCCUAUCCACUGAUGUAGACAAAUCUCUGUUAAAGUUCCAUGUGCUAAGGACUGUUAUAACUAACCACUGCUCCUUAUAUAAUCAUCGUUCCAGUAUCAUUGUUCCAACAUCGUUGU